AUUGAACGCUGGCGGCAGGCCUAACACAUGCAAGUCGAGCGGAUGAAGGGAGCUUGCUCCUGGAUUCAGCGGCGGACGGGUGAGUAAUGCCUAGGAAUCUGCCUGGUAGUGGGGGAUAACGUCCGGAAACGGGCGCUAAUACCGCAUACGUCCUGAGGGAGAAAGUGGGGGAUCUUCGGACCUCACGCUAUCAGAUGAGCCUAGGUCGGAUUAGCUAGUUGGUGGGGUAAAGGCCUACCAAGGCGACGAUCCGUAACUGGUCUGAGAGGAUGAUCAGUCACCCUGGAACUGAGACCCGGUCCAGACUCCUACGGGAGGCAGCAGUGGGGAAUAUUGGACAAUGGGCGAAAGCCUGAUCCAGCCAUGCCGCGUGUGUGAAGAAGGUCUUCGGAUUGUAAAGCACUUUAAGUUGGGAGGAAGGGCGGUAAGUUAAUACCUUGCUGUUUUGACGUUACCAACAGAAUAAGCACCGGCUAACUUCGU
rnacentral:rRNA from 1 species